rnacentral:lncRNA from 1 species
CUUCAGUCGUCAGCCAUGCGCCUGCUACCUCUGAUGCUGCUGCUCUGUCUGGCGGUCUUCGCUGUCGAAGGCGCCCCUAAUCAGGGCUACUGUGGCCUUGGAGGCUCCUGGUGUCCCAGCGGCCAAGUCUGCCGUAGGUGCGGAAUCCCGAUGCCUGGGCGAUGCUGCGUGCCCCUGUCCUUAUGCCGUAAGGCAAAAAGGAAUGAUCCAUUGCUGGUCUGCUGAUCGCAGCUCUGGCCGUCGCCAGCGUGGGAUAAGUCGAGAUGUUGAAGAUGAUGGACAAGUCAUGCGAUGUUGGUGCCGAAAGCGGAAUUCGUCCACCGUUCGGAGAGCUUAGCCAAGUCAAAUGUUCUGCCUUUUCGUUACAUGCUGAAUGGUGCGGGGCGUUUCCUCGCCGCAUGUUUUCACACUCCAUGCAGGCGAGUGAUUUCCAGAAAAAUAAUCUCCUGAAAGGCUUGAGAAAAGUUGACACGCAUCUGGCGACCAGAGGUACACCUCCCUGUGUCGGCACGUGGUCGUGGCCUGCGCGCUGUUAACAGUGCAGAUUCAAAACAGGCAAUACGAAUCAAAAUGCGUGUUGUCAAAUACAAUAGAACCGAACGAGCAGCAACAGUGUACAACGACAUUCACGCGUAGGUAGCAACUUUGUCUAAAUACACCGCGGAUAUCUGAUA